AAAGAGCGAACACUCAAUUUGAGUGUUUACACUGAAUUGAGUGUUUACUCCUUGUCCGAAAUUAUACUCAACUUGACUAUUUUUUUAAGUGUUAUUUUUAGUGUUUUUUUCGUAAAGGCGUUUAUUUCGAUUGCCAACAGACAAGAGAAAUCUCCAACGGCGAUUGAAAUGACUACAAUUAGGAAAAGCUUAUCGAAGACAGCUGUAAUUUGUGAGGUAGAUAUAUUGUAUAUAUGUAAUAAUUAAUUAUAAUUGUGUAUUACAGUUAUAAAUAUUACGUAAAUUUCGUAGGCACAUUUUAGUGAGGAUCAGUUUGAGAACAAACGAGGAGAUGGAAGAAAAUUACUCCGACCAUUCGCAGAACCAAAUUUAUUAAAGAGCAGUUAAUAGAAAAGACAUCUAGGUCUCUGGAAACAGAAUUUCAUGACAAGCAAAACCCAAUAAAUACAAAUUGCACUAGCUCGUGCAAUAAUGAUAUUAAUAGUAAUGAUAACGAUAAGGACAAUAGUAAUAAUAAUGAUAAGGAAAACAGUAAUAACGAUAAAGACAACAGUAAUGAUGACAUGACAAAUAAUAUUGAAACAAAUGUGGAUGAAUUACAAAACAUUAAAUUAAUCCGCAAAAAUACUAUCAAGAUAUUAGAAAGUUGAAAAGAGAUCUAAAACAUAAAACACGAGAAUGUAAUAUUUGGAAGAAAAAAUUUCAACAAAAAAGAAAUAUUUUAAACAAACUUUUCAAUGCAGAUCAACAAAACUUUAUUACACGUUGUAAACAAGAAGGAUCUUCAAUUAAUAAAGCCUCAAGACUAUAAAUGGCCUGCGGACGAAAAGGUUACGAGGAGAUGCGACAGCAAAAUUUGCCAUAUCCAAGUAUCCGCACUUUACAAUACCGCAUAUAAGGCUUAACAUUUCAACCAGGUAUUUUAGAAGAUUUAUAUUCCAGCUGUUGAAAAUAAAAAUAGCGACAUUUAAUUCAAAAGAAAAACAUGCUGUACUUCUCGUUGAUGAAAUGUCGAUAAAACCUGCAGUAUGAUAAUUGUACCGGUACAAUUGUUGGUCGACCAUCAAUGAAAAUGUCAGGUGGAAAAGAUUCUUGUAAUCUAUUAACUACACAUAAUCUUGUAUUUAUGUUGUGCGGCAUUUCUAAAAAGUGGAUACGAAUAUAUAGCUAAUUUAUUUUGCCCGCAAGAAAUGGUAAACAAAAUUACAAUUAUUAAAAAGACACCCGAUAGUGGAAUAAUUAUUGAAAUAGUACUUUCGGACAUGGGAGCGCAAAAUAGGAGUUAGUGGAAACUUUUUAAUAUUACAGCUAGUAAAUUAAAUCACAUCCAAAAUUACAUUCAACAUCCAUGUAAUAACAAAGAUAAACUAUUUAUUACAGCGGAUUCUGUUCAUGUUUAUAAAAAUGUCGCAUAUUCACUAAUUGCAGGAAACACAUUUUAUUUAGAUAAAACGCUAGUAAAAAAUAUAUAACUUACCACAUAACGAAAUCUCUAUGACACCUAUUCGCCAGGUAUAUUGUUAUACCAACAAAAUACUUCAAAAACUGUGUCCACAUUUGAACGAAAAAUCCAUAAAUCCUUCUCAUUUUGAUAAGAUAAACGUUGUCUUAAGUGUAGGACUACUUAACAACAAUGUUGCUGCAGCCAUACUACAUCAUAUUAAUAACAAAAGUAUUGAUUGUAUGCAUAAAACUACUGCGUGGUUUUUAAACACCACGGUACACAAAUGGUUCAAAAUCAUGACUAGCCGUUAUGAAAAACUUGCACUAUCCCAUUUUUAGGAAAAUGAAUAUACAGAAAAUAUCACUUUUUUAAAAGAAUUUAUAGAAAUUGUUUAUGGAAUAACAGUUGGAGAUGGAAAGUGGAAGCUGUUCCAAAGCGGUUUGAUACUUUGUACACAAAUUGCUCUUGAUAUACAUGAAUAUUUAGACAAACAAAAUUUUAAGUAUUUAUUAUUAAGCAGGUUUACACAAAAUGCGUUAGAAAAUUUAUUCUCUACAAUACGUGCAUAAACAUCUGUACCAGACGCACAAGAAUUUAAACAAGCAUUGUCUCAUUUCUUUGUCACAGUUUCAGACAAAUCUCGAUCGUAGUAAUUAUUCCACUAUCAAUGCUGAUAACCUUAUACAAUAUUGUAAAGAAAUAAAACUUUUGAAAAGUAAAAAACCUCUGGAGACAUGCAAUGCUUCGAGAGCAUUGAAAAUGAUGUAUGGAAUAAUGAACUACACACUUGAUUCGAAAUGAACCUAUUUUAACCCUUUGCGGCACACAUUUUUCUAUUAAUCGGAUUUUUAUGAAAAUUGAUAUAAAAAGGUUUUCAGGGUCGCUGAUUACGAAUCUGCAAUUAGAUUUCAACGAUUCUUUUUCAAAAUGGCGUAUCCAAUAUGACAAGUCACGAUUUUGAGUAUUUUUUAUUAGUUUUUUAUGGAAAUUGGUAUACAAGAAUUUUUCAGAACGCUGAUUAUGAAUCCACCAUAAAAAGUAAAUAAAUAUCUAAAAUAGCAAGAUUGAUUGUUUUUAUUCGAAAAAAUGUCAGCAACAAAAUUCUGUAUAUCAAUUUUUAUGAAAAAUCUAUAAAAAUACUCAAAAUCGUGAAUUGCCAUAUUGGAUCCGCCAUUUUGAAAAAGAAUCGUCGAAAUCUGAUUCGUAGUCAGCGUAGAAGCGGAUUCGUAAUCAGCGACUCAAAAAAAACCUGCAUAUUGAUUUUCGCAGCUUCAUGAUUCUUCCUUCUGACAUACAUUUUUUGUAAAAAAUACUUUUUUUCGUUUUAUUUAUUUAUAUAACAAAAUUAACUAAUAAUAAAGGAAAAUUACACCCUACCAAAUACUACUAAGAUUUUUACUAAAGUAAAAUUACAAGAAAAAAUAAUAAAAUGCAGUAUUUGGUGUCCAAAAAAUUAAAAAAAUUACUUCAAAAUAGAUGGUCGAUAUAUCGAUAUUAUCGACCAUCAUGCCGCAAAAAGUUAAAUAACGUUGCACAAACAGCAUUGGAUCAUUUGACAGGUGUAUUGUUGUGUAAAAUUAAAAAAAAUUUACAAAUAUUGUGCUGCAUGUUUCAAUACACUUGUGACCACUAAUAUAGAUUUAAAUAAUAAUGUCAUAAUAUAUAACUUCUUUUUAUAAAAUUACGAGAAUAUAAAAAAAUGUGUUACAUUUUUCUACUAUGGAUGUAUAUAAUAUUUUAUAUAAAUGCGAAAUAUUAUUUCGGCAAGAAGAGACUAAUUUACUGUCUAAUAAGUUAUAAUCCACUGAAUUUGUAAACAAAUGUUUACAAAUAUAUCUGACGGAUUUUAUUCCAUCAUGACAUAACAUUAUGUACAAACUACUCAAAAUGUUUGUAAUUACUAGAAUACAUUUUAGUUUAAAGAAAGAUUUUGAUAAUAUUGUAAAAGCAGUUCCUACUUCUAGUCGAAGCGUGGCAAUGAAAAAGUCUGUGAUCAAUUAUAAAUGUUAUGGUAAAAAAAAAUAAAAUAAAUUUUAUGUUUA